UAAAACUUAAAAUUACUAUAACAUAUAGUAAAAGCAGAAUGAUAUAAUAAAUAAACAACCUAUAUAAAAUAGAAAUAAUGUAUAUACACUGUACUCUUACUGUUCUCUUAUUGCACCAGUUAUGGUUUCAGUUAAGUGGCCAUAUCACCCAAACGAUACUAUAUCCAGUAGAAGCAACAUUUAAUAUCAUCACAGGCUGGUUAAUAUCCAUGAUUGGAUCAACUGUAAAGUUGAAGAAUAGGAUUCAACAGCACAGAAUCAGGCUCCUCCCGAAAAACUGGAGAUGAGGGAUUUGGAAUUGAAGCUAAAUCCUCCAAGAUAGUAAGCUACUGCAUUACCGUAAGACAAUCCAACUGACUUUUUUUUUUAUAAAAGUGAAAAUCCUUUUCAGAUUUCUUUCAGAAAGUGAAAAUAGGUACUAAUGUAGGUCAUAAAAGCAAACCUUUGUAAAGGAGAGAAAACCUAUAUAUAGAAAUUUUUUCAAGAAAACCAAUAAUAAAAAAUAGGAUGUAGAUAGAAUAAAGUAUCAUCAUAUUAUAUUUGAUUUUCUGUAAUAAAUAUCUGUUUAUAAGAUAAUAUUUA
rnacentral:lncRNA from 1 species